rnacentral:lncRNA from 1 species
GGCGAGGGCCAUUUGCUGUAGGAGCUUGGUCAAAGGCUUUCCGUAGAUGAAGUUCGAUUUCAUGCAAAAUUUGACAGAGGGUCGACCAGCAGUGGAUGUUGGAUGGCGCUGGAGAGGUUCAUCCGCUGGAGGGGUCCGACUGCUGGAGUCCAUGUAUCGUAGGAGUUCGUCCAGAAUCUGUCCGCUACAGAAGUUCGGUCGGAGUCUGAUCUUCGUAGAAGUUCGGAUGGGGAUCAUUUGUCGAGGAAGCUCGGUCGAAGCCU